rnacentral:rRNA from 1 species
UGUCGACUAGUCGUUCGGAGCAGCAAUGCACUGAGUGACGCAGCUAACGCGUGAAGUCGACCGCCUGGGGAGUACGGCCGCAAGGUUAAAACUCAAAGGAAUUGACGGGGACCCGCACAAGCGGUGGAUGAUGUGGAUUAAUUCGAUGCAACGCGAAAAACCUUACCUACCCUUGACAUGUCUGGAACCUUGCUGAGAGGCGAGGGUGCCUUCGGGAGCCAGAACACAGGUGCUGCAUGGCUGUCGUCAG